AAAUAUUAAAAUCAAAAAUUUGAGAAGCAGAAUAAAAAUUAACUAAAAGCUUGGCAAUAUCUCCACGCAUAUUAUAAAUAGAAUUGAGCUAGAAUACUUUUAGAAGUAUCACCCCCUUUUUACUUCUAAGUUUCUAGCCGUUGAAUCUAUUCCUUGAUUGCUAAUAAUCUUUGGAUCAAAUACUAUUCCACCUACUAUCAUCUAUCACCACCUACCAUCAUCAUCCAAACCUUACAUUUCUCCAUCCAAUAGUUAAAAACUCAAAAACACCAACCUCUUGGUGCUUUUGAGAGUAUUCUAACUUAACUCUUAUAAAUACAAAUUAGCCAAACUGUAAAGUAUAAAAUAAAAC
rnacentral:lncRNA from 1 species